CGCAAUAUCGAAAGAAGGCGUUUUGGAGGUGUGUCUCUUGACUUGUCACGGCUGCACGAUUUCGUCUGAUAAAACUUGAACAAAAUGACAGAAACUCUGAAAGAUAUUGGACCUUUGGUUGGUGCAGUUGACCAGGGAACAAGCAGUACAAGGUUUCUGGUCUUUUCCUGUAAAACAUCUGAACUGAUUGCUCAUCAUCAAAUUGAAUUACAACAAACCUUCCCCAAUGAAGGGUGGGUGGAAGAGGACCCUAAAGAGAUUCUCUCAACGGUCAAAGAAUGCAUCAAUGAAACGGUCAAGAAACUCAAAGGUCAAGGGGUGGAUCCAGCGGGCAUCAAAGCCGUAGGGAUCACCAAUCAGCGGGAGACUACCAUUGUCUGGGAUAGGACAACGGGGGAGCCCUUGCAUCCUGCUGUCCUUUGGCUAGAUGCUAGAACAGCUACCACUGUUGAUCAGCUUGUAGCAAAGACACCUUCCAAGACCAAGGAGCAUUUACAACCUCUUUGUGGACUACCUCUAUCAACAUACUUCAGUGCAGUGAAGGUCAGAUGGUUACUGGACAACGUUCCAGAAGUCAAGAAGGCCGUUGAUGAUGGACGAUGUAUGUUUGGAACGGUGGACUCCUGGCUGACAUGGAAUCUAACAGGAGGUUUAAAGGGAGGACUACACAUAACAGAUGUCACCAAUGCAAGUCGUACCAUGCUUAUGAAUGUAACAAAGUUACAGUGGGAUGAUGAGCUUUGCAAAUUCUUUGAUGUACCUAAGAGUAUUCUUCCUGAGAUUCGUAGCUCUGCUGAGAUCUAUGGUGAACUGGUUGAUACAGCCCUCAAGGGAGUCCCCAUCGGAGGGAUUCUUGGAGAUCAGCAUGCAGCAUUAGUAGGACAGUCCUGUUUCAAGAAAGGCAUGGCUAAAAAUACCUAUGGAACUGGCUGUUUCUUAAUCUACAACACUGGUGAAGAGAGAGUGUUCUCCAAGCAUGGCUUAUUAACAACUCUAGGAUAUAAACUUGGAAAAGAUGCUCCAACUAUCUAUGCACUUGAGGGCUCUGUAGCAGUAACAGGUGCUGCAGUGAGGUGGUUACGAGAUAACUUGGGCAUCAUCAAAACAGCUCCAGAAGUUGAGACGCUGGCUAAAGAAGUUGAUAACAAUGGUGGUGUGUAUUUUGUACCUGCUUUCUCUGGUCUCUACGCUCCUUACUGGGAGGCGGAUGCAAGAGGAACUAUCUGUGGUCUAACUCAGUUCAGUACCAAGGCCCACAUAGCUAGAGCUGUUCUAGAAGCAGUGUGUUAUCAAACCAGAGAGUUAUUAGAUGCAAUGGACCAAGAUUCUGGUAUUCCCCUAGAGAAGCUUAGGGUUGAUGGUGGAAUGACUCAAAAUAAUCUUCUCAUGCAGCUACAAGCAGAUACACUCAACAUUCCUGUUGUUCGACCAUCAAUGCCAGAGACCACAGCUUUGGGUGUUGCAAUGGCUGCCGGUCACGCUGUAGGUGUAUGGAAGAUAGAAGAUGCCUCGGCUGGUAACACCGAUACCUUUACACCGGUUAUUGCUGAAGAUGUCCGUGAGUCGCACUACGCCAAGUGGAAGCUCGCCAUCCAGAAAUCAAUGAACUGGGAGGGGCAUAGUUACACCCCUGCAACCAAAGGUGAAGCAUGAUCAUCUACCUCUUGCCCACUUAUACUUGGACAAUCAACUUUAUUACAUAAUCAGUUCAUUGCAUGUUCAACAUGUUGCCUGCCCUCUAUCAUCAACAUCCAGACAGUCACCACCAUUGUGACAUCAUCAGCC
rnacentral:misc_RNA from 1 species